CCUGACGUCAAUGACGGCAGGAUGAGAACCUCAAGGUUCGACAAGUACGCGUAGCGUACUUGAACGUUGUCGCGCAGCGACGACGGCCCCGCAGGGGUGAGGCGCGCAGCGACGAAUAAUCCUGCCGUCCCGGCCA
rnacentral:sRNA from 1 species